CAUGAGCCAUCUUGCAUAAAGUAUAUCUCAGUUAUGUCAUAGCAUAAGCAUAUUUUCAUAAAGAAUAUGGAAUGACACGUCACAGGAGGUGCCUGAGCACAUUGCAUCAGAGUGCCUAGCCAAGGUCCAGCCACCCAGGGUCAGGAAAUGCCAGAACCCAGCCCCAGUAGGGGAGCUAGGUUUGAGUCAGUGCUCCGCUAUUCCCCACGGUGAAUUGUGCUGCUGCCUAUCUGCCUGAAUCUUGGCAUUCCCUAACCAGCAUGCCACCCCGCUGCAUCUGCCUCUUCAACUUCAGCAUGUGCCAUGCCAGACAUCCACCUACGAGCCUUGGUCAGCUUGGACACUUCUGGCAAUUUUAUGGACCAGAACUUUAAGGAGCCUCGAAUUCGCAUCCUCUGCAAGGUCUUCCCUGAGCUUGUUGAGGUUAUAGAUGGGUCAUUCCUAUCUUCAGGCCCCGUCAUGCAUCAAACAACCCACCUGGAGGGCGUCAGCAUUGGCAGUCACUGAGAGAUCUUGCAGUUCAGGGUCAUCUGUGCUUUGCAUUCACCGGUCGUCCUUGGUGUCCCCUGGCUCAUUGCCCAUCAGCCCCAAAUUAGCUGGGGCUUGCGAUCUAUACUUUUCUAUUCCCUGCAGAGCCGAUGAGCAUGCUUUCCCAACUCUAGUGAAUGGCUGGUCGCAUUCUGUGGCAUGCUCCAGCCCCCGAAGCACCCAGAACUGCCAACCAAAGUUUCAUUGGCAGUGCCCGGAAUUCCUGCCGAGUACGUAGAAUAUGCCACGGUAUUUGACAAACAGAAGGCAGACACUCUAUUUCCACAGCACAGUGAUGAUUGCACAAUUGACCUUCAACCAGGAACAGGAGUUCCUUUUGGGUGCAUUUACACCUUAUCUGUACCCAAACUGCAGGCCCUCCAGGAGUACCUUGAGGAAAAUUUGCAGAAGAGGUUCAUGGUCCCUUGACUUCCCGAGUGGCAGCACAUGUCUUCUUCGUGGCCAAGAAGGAUGGCUCCCUCCCUUAUAUUGAUUAUUGAACCUUUAACGAGAUCACAGUCUGCGACUGAUGCCCCUUUUCAUGAAAGACUCCGGGUCAGGUCUUCACAAAGCUAGACUGGCGUGGAGCAUACAACCUGUCAGAAUCCAGCAAGGGAAUGUGUGAUGCUGACGGACCAGGGGCCAAGGCCCUUAGAUCUCAACUGACCACUGGCAAAUAUGUAGCUGGAACCAGCCUGGCUCACCCAUGUGCUAAUAUUGUUAAAACAGAGGAGAAGCAUUACCAAGUGUGAAAUACUAGCUUGCCACAGGAGGUGUUCUCUUUUGCCCAACAAAAGAAGUCCCAUCAACACCAGAUGAACUGUUGUGGAACAUCCGAGGACAAAAGACUUUGUUGAUUGCCCCCCCUUACCCCUCCCACUUGAAGAAGAGACAGGCAGCUGAAUUUGCAACUCGGCAGAAAGAGGAAAGGAAUAAAAAGCCCUAACAAGGAGGAACUGUAUCCUCUGCUUGGAGUCUGAGGAGCGGGACUUACUAAGCAUAAGCAAAAGAUCCCCAGUGGUUGGCCUGGAUUAGCCCUAAGGGCACAGAGCUUGCUUAUUAUAGAAGCUUCAGUUACCUUUUGAAACUUAAAAGGGGAACACGUUUGUGUGUACAUUUACCUGCUUUAACCUUCUAAAUAACUCUAUUUCCUUUGCCUAGUUAAUAAAUCUUUAGAUACUUUAUUUUA